rnacentral:rRNA from 1 species
AGCGGGACUCGGUUCUGCCCCCGGUUCCAUUAAAUUUCGCCCAAAUCCACCGGAAGCAGUCAACACGGAUGGGUCGAAACUCAAGAUCCAGUGGCAGGGAGACCGUCGUCCAUGUCGCCAGCUCCGAUCAGGUGCUAGCUUUGCAUGUAUCAAAUUUUGCUCCUUUAAUUUCUUUGAAGCGGGUGCGGUGCGGCCUUGCGGGAGCAACCGACCUGCCGGCCAGCGGGUCAUCUCGUCGUCUCCGAUGUCUUCCGUGCCUGAUGUGCUCCCGUAAAGUGUAGGUCACCUGAAUUUCUUCUAAGCGGUUCUAUUGCCAGAUCCAUUUCCAUGGUGACGGACGUCGUUGGCCAUUAUGUGAACUAUUGUUGAACACUUUUUUCCCUGAAAUUCCUGCUCCUUGGCCACUAGCCAGAUGGUAUAACCGGAGCUGUUCCGGUGGUUGGAUUUGCCGGGUCAUGCAGAAACUCUAAUGAAAUUCUUUUUUCUCUUCAUGGGCAGUGCAUUUUGUUUCUAAUCAAAUUCUUUUUUCUCUCCAUGGGCAGCACAUUUUUUUAACUAUUUGGUUCACAGAACUUCCCUUGUCUUGUAUUUUUCUCCUUCUAUUUCUUGCUUCCAUGAAUUUUCUGGUGUCCAUAUUGUUUUCCCCUAUGAGAUUCGAUCCAUUUUUUCUCGUGUUAUUGUUCUGCAGAUAAAAUCUCUGUUGAUUAAUAAUUUCUUCUCUAUGUUGUGAGGUAAUUAUCCCUAGAAUUUGUUCUUCUGUAACUAAGUUUAAAACGUCACAAAAAUGGUUGCAAAAACAAUGAGCCAGUUUUUUUGUGCUGAUCAGUGUCCUUGGUGGAGGAAUUGUCCUGUUUUUUCAACUUGAUUAGUGUGCAAAAACUUUGAUGUCCACCAGUUGUGUAUAGUGCAUCAAAAUUUGGAAAUUCCCUAUGCUGACUUGGUAAUGCUGGUGAUUUUGUAGUCUUCAAACAUUGUCAAACAUAAUAUUUAAUAGUACUAAUGUACAUGCAAUUAAGCGAGUAAUAUAUAACAUACAUAUUUAAUUUUCUAUAGCUGGAAUUCUUAACAUCUACAAAAAACACUUGAUUGUCUUGGUGUUCAUUCUACGUGCUAAACAGCACCUUUGUUAAUUUUUGGUGUGAUUAAAUCACAAGUGUAAUUUGAAAAACAACAUAAACAUGCCACAAUCAUAGUCACAGGUGAGAUUUCAAACAUUGAAUGAAUGGAUUGGCAUUGCACAUCAUUGAAGAAUGCAUUAGUUUGGGGACCAGACUCACGUGGCCUAGCUGGCCUUUGUGGCAGAUUUCUGUUUCUUAGAAUUAAAAAACACAUACACAGCAGAAAGGAGAGAAAAUACAGCCUCCGAAUAAUGAUUAGUCAAGAGGGCAAAUUAUGGUUUAAUUGAAUUAAUCCAUAAGUGCAUUUGGUACUAAUCACAGCCCCCAAAUUUUUAAUGGCCACCAUUGUGUUUUUGUAAUUAAGCCAAUAGAUUUUUUAUUUCUUGAUUAUUCUUGGAGGUUGAAGAUAAUUUUCAGUAAGGAUUAUUCUACAGUUUUAGUCUUGUAACGUUCAAAGCAGUGCAAUUUUUGUUAUAAUCAAGUGCUUAAUCUGAUUUUAUAAUGAAGUUCCACAUUGGAAUCAGUUAAUUCCGUUUUAAUCCAUAGCCAUAGGUAAGCAUGCUCGUCGGUUUGCAUGCUGUGAUUCAAACCAAGGUACCAUUGAUCUCGCUGCUAUUUGUGGGCCACUACCUUGUAGUAGAGUACUCAAUAGCUGGUGGUCUUUGCCUUGUGCCAAACCUGGUACUUGAUGGGGUGGCAUAGGUUGCCCUAUGCAGAGAUGGUUGGCGUACAAAUACUUGGGGCUAGAGAUUGUAAUAAGUGAUGGCAUAUUGCAG